AACCCAUGCUGAGAGUAUUUCUGCAGGAGAUCCUUGAACCUAUCCCAUUUCUCAAAAAGAAACUCCAAUUAUAUUUGCAGAAAAAAGGAUAUUUUAUUCUUGAACUU